GUAGAGGCGGGACCUGGUGCUGUGGAAAGAGAGAACUCUUGCUCAUUCUUUCUAGUCAAGACCCAAGUGGACUCUUUGCUGGCUUUGAAAGGAAAGGCAUUUCUGGUUUGUACUUGGCAGGACUCUGAGAGCCCUAGCGCUGUGUAGUUGUUCUCCAGCACAAUCUCCGUGAAGACGCAGUCCUUGCCUUUGCCGUUGCUCUGCAGGUAGGGGAGCCAGACACCACGUUACAGAGCCCCCCCAGCAGAGGCAGAGGGCGAGCGGCCCCAGACAGCAGAUGUAGAGGCCCGUCUCGGCUCCUCGGACUCGAACUCUGCUUCCAAAGGUGUCCGUCUCCACGAUGAGCUUUGCUGUCAG